rnacentral:ncRNA from 1 species
AGGAUUUAUUUAGUUCUGGUUAUGGAAGAAGCACUAGGCACUAAUCACAUAAGGAGUUUUUAUAGAGUUGUGUGUAGAGUAAUUUUACAUAUUUAGUGAUGGAUUCUUGUUUUUGGGGAAACUCAGAACAGGGUGUUCUUGUGAGAAAUGGUUAAUUCUCAGUGCCAGCCUCCGCGGUUAAUCUGUAAUUUCGUUCUUCCUGUCAGUUGAAAUUUUUUAAGAGUAAGUGUAUAAAGAUUAAGGUAGAAUUUUCUUUGUUUAGUGUUAAGCUCUUAGUUUAUUUUGUAGCUUCUUUUAUAAAAGAGGAUUAGAUACCCUCGUAUAGGAAAGUUGGAUUUUGGUGUCUGUAGUGUGAACUAAAAGAAUUUGGCAGCUGAUGAAGUUCGUCCGGGGGAGUGUGUUCUUUAAAAAGAUGGUCCGCUUAGUAGUUUACCUUUUUAUUUGGUUAGUGUAUAUCCGGUUUAAGAUCCGUAAUUAGUGUUGCGGGUGCAGGUAGUUGGGUACUUAAUCCAGGUCUUUGUGCUGCUGAUGGAGAGGGUGGUUAAUGCGCUACGUUGUUAAAAGACCUUAAUAUAAUUUUGGGGUGUAUUCAGGACUCGGUAGUAGGAAAGGUUUAGUUUGUCUUUUCGAAAAGGAUUUAGUUGGGGUACACACCGCCCGUCACUCAGGGCGUUAGCCCUGAUAAGUCGUAACAUGGUAACGUUGGGGGAACCGAACGUUAGUAGUUUCACUGUGUAUUAGGUGAAGUU